GAGAGAGCAGGAGAGAGAGGGGGAGAGAGAGAACAGAAGCAAAAGCAGCAUUUAAGCCGUGUUAGAACAGUUCAGAAGGCACUGGCUGAGAAGGGUGCAAACUGUCGCAGUGAAUGAACGGGAAUGAGCAUUAAUUAGCUGGAACUUCAAUCAAAAAGGGAAGACGUGCUUAAUUUUAUUAAGGACAACUCAACUGCUUUUUUUAUUUUUAAGUGUGUUAUGUGUAUUUCCGUUUAUUAGAUUUUUCCUAUCAUUAAGGACCAAUGUCUCUGCAUGAGGAAUCGUGGAAGGGGAAAGGCCCUUGUGCUUAUUAACCACACUGCUGAGUGAGGCCACAGCACCCAGAGGAUAUUAACAUGCUAAACAAUUUUGUAUUUAAAAAAAAAACAACAUAAUUUACCAGACUACAUUAAUUCAUCAAGACGUGUAGUCUUUUUUUAAACCUGAGUCAGACAUAAGGCUAAACCUUUCCAUUGAGGAUGGUCAUCUCUCAAAAUCCUGUGUUUCAUGGAACAGGACAUCAUGCUCCAAAAACUGGAAGGAGACUGACUCCUGCUCUUUCUGAAGAUGUGAUGUUCCUCAUCGGUGGAUUAAUAUAAUUUUGUAACUGAAAAAACACGGCUGUAAACUUCAGACGGCCUUUGUAUAUCCAACACUGAGCUCCACACACAAUGGAGUUCGUAAGGCCUUCCCACGUCUACGUGUUGCUGGAUUUCUCUCGGCUCGGUUGGACCGCGCUCGACAGGCAAAAGUCAAACAAUCGCGAGCGUUUUUUUUAUAUUUUCCGUCGCACUCAGCACUCGCACCGCGCUGGACCGAGAGAGCCGCGGACGCGUAUAAAAGGGGAGAGAUGGACCGGCCGCGGCGGGCUGGCUCAGUGCGCUUUACAGCGGCCAGGGAUGGGACCGCUGGGCCGGGAGGUGCCGCCGCGCAGGACGCUAAAUUUUUGUUAUGGUGUUUUGGUUUCCAAAAGGGACGCUACUAAGAAGCUGGCUGACCAAGUCCCGGCCCAGACUUCUGCUGCUCCUCGCGGGGUUGAAACGGCCGCAGGUGACCCUGAUGCGGAGGAAACGGAUGAAGCGCACGAAAGUAGCAAAGGCCACGUAAGCGGACCUCCAAUCGAAUGCCACAUUUCUCUUGAACGCUCGGUGGAGAAGAUGCCUGCGUCUGGCCUGAAAAUGGAAGAUUGCGAAGCCACAGAGGAACUAGGUCUUAAAGCUCCGCAAACACGACGGACUAAACGCCAAAAGCACAGGACUUACUUUCGUUUGCAUACCAUGAAAUCAAGGAAUCAACAACUGAAAUAUAUGCUGGCAGAGUAAGCCAAUCAUAAUCUACGCAACAACCUGUACACCAUCUCUGAAAUGUGCAUACUCCAUGUGAUUCAUUAUAAUAUUUAACAGCACGUGUGAUUGUACAAUAUUUACUUUUAAUUCCAAAUCCCUGUAGUCACUGGUACUUUUCUGGUCUGUACAUUAUCAUUUGUCCAGGUUAUCUGUAAAGGAAGGAGUGGAGUAUUCCCAUUCUGUGUACACUAGAGCUGUACCUAGUUUUCUGCAGACGGUCGCUGCAUUAAUCUUCUGCAGAUAUUGCUAAUAACAACUGAUUUCUGACCGGAAAAGCUGACCGGCAGCACAGUGCAGUGUUCUGGAAUAUUUUUCCGCGGGCUUUAUUAAAAUGAUCCUGGGACGGGCCAAUGAAAGAAGACAGAACUGUGGAAACGCGAGUUAAAGGCGGAGCAAUCUUUCUGCCUGAGUGACUUACAUCUACCGACCGACACCACGGAUCCCUGGUCUCCUGAGAGCAUUUAAAGAAUAUACGUGAUUUAUAGGUGGAUUUAGAGGUGCACGUUUCAUGCCAAGCUUGGAGAAAAAGCAAAGUUCAAAGCAAAAAAUAAAUAAAUUUGAACACCUUUAUCAUGAACCAGACUAACAACAAACUUACUUUGUUUUGAGCAAGCAGUUGAUCAUACAUUAUAUAUUAUAUAUAAGUGUACACAUUCGUAUAUAAACAGUCACAGCUUUACUGUAUAUAGCAUUACGAUAAAAAAAAAUGAUCUCCUCCAUUGCAGCUAGACGGGAGGGCGGGAGAAAACUGAAAAUGUAAAUUAUAACGUAACAUAACAUAAUGACGAGAACAGGUCGUUCAAUCCGACAAUGCUCUGCAUUUUCCGGACUAAUCAGCAUAAUCUGAAAGAUAUGGCUUUGGUCAUUCAGAAUUUUUACACUACAGUUGGCUUUCUCUCAUUUUAAAUGUAGUCAUUUCAGUCCAUUGACAUUAUGAAGCGACCACAUCUUAGUGUGAUAGUGUGAUAGUCCAUUAAAGGAUGCUUCAAACGUUCGGCAGUCACCAUGUAAUAGUAUGUGAUACAUGGUACCUUGGUGAGCUGGCAUUCAGAACAGAGUCCAGAUCUGUAGUUCUGGGUUUGUGCAGUACAGUAAGGCAGUAUGGAGCAAGAUAUCAAGCUGACCCUGAAUCUGACCUGAAAAGACUAUUUUCUUUUAUUUUUCUUUUAGAUGAAUAGAUUAAUGCAUGCCUCCAUCUUUGUAUAACUGCAUUGAAACGAAUGUCUGUGAGCUGCAGGGUUGAAGGAUGUCACUCAGAGAAUGUUUGGGGCAUUAUGGUAUAUAUGUUUCACAGAAUGUCACUAGCAGCACACAUGAUCUGUCCUGGAAGGUGAGGAAGAGCUGAUAUAUUAAAACUUGAACGAGCCAAUUCAAUAUGUA